rnacentral:lncRNA from 1 species
AAACCAAAGCAUUUAGAGGAAAUCUGACAUGGGAUAAAAAUGUUUAUCAGGUCAAGAUCUAUCUGCCCUGAAAUUUUCAGAUGAAUCGGUCAAUCGGUUGUUGGGUUGCUGCCCCUGAAUUGGUAAUUUUGAGGAAAUUUUGCUGUUUUUGGUUAUUAUCUUGAAUAUUAUUAUAGAUAGAGAUAAACUGUAAACAGCAAUAAUGUUCAGCAAAGUAAGAUCUACAAAUAAGUCAACAUGACCAAAAUGGUCAGUUGACCCGUUUAGGAGUUAUUGCCCUUUAUAGUCAAUUUUUAACCAUUUUUCAUAAAUUAAAGUAAUCUUUUACAAAAAUCUUCUCCUCUGAAACUACUGGGCCAAAUUAAUCCAAACUUGGCCACAAUCAUCUUUGGGGUAUCUAGUUUAAAAAAUGUGUGGCGUGACCUGGUCAACCAACCAAGAUGGCCGCCACCGCUAAAAAUAGAACAUAGGGGUAAAAUGCAGUUUUUGGCUUAUAACUCAAAAACCAAAGCAUUUUGAGGAAAUCUGACAUGGGAUAAAAAUGUUUAUCAGGUCAAGAUCUAUCUGCCCUGAAAUUUUCAGAUGAAUCGGUCAAUCGGUUGUUGGGUUGCUGCCCCUGAAUUGGUAAUUUUGAGGAAAUUUUGCUGUUUUUGGUUAUUAUCUUGAAUAUUAUUAUAGAUAGAGAUAAAUUGUAAACAGCAAUAAUGUUCAGCAAAGUAAGAUCUACAAAUAAGUCAACAUGACCAAAAUGGUCAGUUGACCCCUUUAGGAGUUAUUGCCCUUUAUAGUCAAUCUUUAACCAUUUUUCAUAAAUCUAAGUAAUCUUUUUACAAAAUCUCCACUGAAACUACUAGGCCACAAUCAUCUUUGGGGUAUCUAGUUUGAAAAAUGUGUCCGAUGACCUGGCCAUUCAACCAAGAUGGCCGCCACGGCUAAAAAUAGAACAUAGGGGUAAAAUGCAGUUUUUGGCUUGUAACUAUGAAACCAAAGCAUCUAGAGCAAAUCUGACAAGAAGUUAAAUUGUUAAUCAAGUCAAUAUCUAUCUGCCCUGAAUUUUUCAGAUGAAUUGGACAACUGGUUGUUGGGUUGCUGCCCUCCAAUUGUAAUUUUUAAAGAAAUUUUGCCGUUUUUGGUUAUCUUGAAUACUAUUAUAGAUAGCGAUAAACUGUAAACAGCAAUAAUGUUCAGCAAAGUAAGAUCUACAAAUAAGUCAACAUGACCUAAAUGGUCAAUUGACCCCUUAAGGAGUUAUUGUCCUUUAUAGUCAAUUUUUAACAAUUUUCAUUAAUUUGGUAAAUUUAUGUAAAUUUUUACCAAAUAUAGUUCUCUGUUACUAAUGGGCAAAGUUCAUUAUAGAUAUAAUUGUAAGAAGCAAAAUCUUUCAGUAAAGUAAGAACUUCAAACACAUCACCAUCACCAAAAUAGAAUUUUGUCAUGAAUCCAUUUGUGUCCUUUGUUUAAUAUGCACAUAGACCAAGGUGAGCGACACAGGCUCUUUAGAGCCUCUAGUUGGUUAUUAUCUUGAAUAUUAUUAUAGAUAGAGAUAAACUGUAAACAGCAAUAAUGUUCAGCAAAGUUAGAUUUACAAAUAAGUCAACAUGACCGAAAUGGUCAGUUGACCCCUUAAGGAGUAAUUGCCCUUUAUAGUCAAUUUUUAACCAUUUUUCAUAAAUCUAAGUAAUCUUUUACAAAAAUCUCCUCCUCUGAAACUAAUGGGCCAAAUUAAUCCAAACUUGGCCACAAUCAUCUUUGGGGUAUCUAGUUUAAAAAAUGUGUGGCGUGACCCGGUCAACUAACCAAGAUGGCCGCCACGGCUAAAAAUAG